rnacentral:ribozyme from 1 species
AAAAGAGGUAAAGAUAAGGGAAUAAAGAAGAGAGUUAAACAUAGACCACAAGCUAGAGAUUAAGGGAUUGUUUAGACCUCAGGAAUCUUCUCUUUUUCUUUUACAUUCUAUGGAGUCUUUCUAAUAAUCUC